rnacentral:rRNA from 1 species
AUGGCAAACCGCUGUAUUUUUGUCCGUCAGCCACUUCUCCGCCGCGUUUCUUUCUUCCAAACCAAAGAGGAAGAAGAAAACGAAAUUAAGCCCUUGCGACUGCGCGCGGCGGCUCUUCUCGCCGCCGAAGAGCCAAAGCUGGCACGGCAAAUUGGCGCGCGCAAGGUCACUACUACUCCCGGCGACGGCUUUAAUGCAGCAAAGGACAUGUCGAGGCCGUUCCUUCCGCACAAGAUUUCACCGGUAACAUCAACGUUGUUGCAAGUUAAUGCAAGUUGCUGCGGCCACGGUCGGGGUGGAGAACGUGCAGACAGCUACGCCGGCGAUGGCGAUGGCGAUGGGGCAUUCCGCCUCCAGCGCUCGCUGGAAACAGGCCGGUGGCACCCAGCGCCAGCAGCGGAGCGCUGA